rnacentral:rRNA from 1 species
UUCUGGCUCAGGAUGAACGCUAGCUACAGGCUAACACAUGCAAGUCGAGGGGUAGCAGGGUAGCAAUACCGCUGACGACCGGCGCACGGGUGAGUAACACGUAUCCAACCUUCCCAUAACUCAGGGAUAGCCUUUCGAAAGAAAGAUUAAUACCUGAUAGUACUUUUUCAAGGCAUCUUGAGAAAGUUAAAGAUUUAUUGGUUAUGGAUGGGGAUGCGUUCCAUUAGAUAGUUGGUGAGGUAACGGCUCACCAAGUCUUCGAUGGAUAGGGGUUCUGAGAGGAAGGUCCCCCACAUUGGUACUGAGACACGGACCAAACUCCUACGGGAGGCAGCAGUGAGGAAUAUUGGUCAAUGGGCGAGAGCCUGAACCAGCCAAGUAGCGUGAAGGAUGAAGGUCCUAUGGAUUGUAAACUUCUUUUAUAGUAGAAUAAAGUGAUCCACGUGUGGAUUUUUGUAUGUAUACUAUGAAUAAGGAUCGGCUAACUCCGUGCCAGCCGCAGC